rnacentral:rRNA from 1 species
AGGAUCCGGAGGGGGGAUCUUCAACACUCCGCAUGGAGAGCUUGAUAUCCCUCUGUAAGGACCCUGGGGCUCCCAGCGUUUACUGCGAACAAAUUAGAGUGUUUAAAGCAGGCAUAUAUACUGCAUGAAUAGAUAAGCAUGGGAUAAUAGAAUACGGUCUCCCCCUCCAUUUUGGUAAGAGGCGGGAGACAAUGAUUAAUAGGGGUAGUUGGGGAUAUGAGUAUUUUUUAGUUAGAGGUGAAAUUCUUGGAUUUGCGAAGGACUACCCGAUGCGAAAGCGCUUAUCCAGGAUGCUUUCAUUAAUCAAGAACGAAAGUUAAGGGAUCGAAGAUGAUCAGAUACCGUCGUAGUCUUAACCCUAAACUAUGCCGACCAGGGAUUAAGUGAUGUUAACAUGGAUGACUCCCCUAGCACCUUGUGAGAAAUCAUAAGUAGUGGCUCCGGGGGGAGUAUGGUCGCAAGGCUGAAACUUAAAGGAAUUGACGGAAAGGCACACCAGGAGUGGAGCCUGCGGUUCAAUUUGACUCAACGCGGGUAAACUUACCCAGACCAGACACAAUAAGGAUUGACAGAUUAAGAGCUCUUUCUUGAUUUUGUGAGUGGUGGUGCAUGGCCGAUCUUAGUUGGUGGAGUGAUUUGUCUGGUUUAUUCCGAUAACGAGCGAGACCGCAACCUACUAAAUAGUUCGAUCAAACGCCUACCGGUGAAGCGAGACGGCCUCGGUCGUCU